rnacentral:rRNA from 1 species
UACGGGGGGUGCAAGCGUUAAUCGGAAUUACUGGGCGUAAAGGGUGUGUAGGUGGUUUGAUAAGUUAUCUGUGAAAGUCCUGGGCUCAACCUAGGGAGGUCAGAUAAGACUGUUAGACUUGAGUAUAGGAGAGGGUAGUGGAAUUUCCGGUGUAGCGGUGAAAUGCGUAGAGAUCGGAAGGAACACCAGUGGCGAAGGCGGCUACCUGGCCUAAUACUGACACUGAGGCACGAAAGCGUGGGGAGCAAACAGGAUUAGAUACCCUGGUAGUCCACGCUGUAAACGAUGUCGACUAGCCGUUGGCCAUCGUAAGCGAUGGUAAGUGGCGCAGCUAACGCGAUAAGUCGACCGCCUGGGGAGUACGGUCGCAAGAUUAAA